GCCGAGGUAGCUCAGGUGGUAGAGCAGAGGACUGAAAAUCCUCGUGUCGGCGGUUCGAGUCCGCCCCUCGGCA
rnacentral:tRNA from 1 species